CAGUCGCCGCGGUAAUACGGAGGGUGCAAGCGUUAAUCGGAAUUACUGGGCGUAAAGUGCACGCAGGCGGUCUGACAAGUCAGAUGUGAAAUCCCCGGGCUUAACCUGGGAACUGCAUUUGAAACUGUCAGGCUGGAGUCUUGUAGAGGGGGGUGGAAUUCCAGGUGUAGCGGUGAAAUGCGUAGAGAUCUGGAGGAAUACCGGUGGCGAAGGCGGCCCCCUGGACAAAGACUGACGCUCAGGUGCGAAAGCGUGGGGAGCAAACAGGAUUAGAUACCCCGGUAGUCCCUGUCUCUUAUAC
rnacentral:rRNA from 1 species